UUUUAUAUAGUUUAAAAAAACAUUAUAUUUUCAAUAUAAAAAUAAUAUCUCUAUAUUUAUAAAUA
rnacentral:tRNA from 1 species